rnacentral:tRNA from 2 species
AAAAAGUUAGUUAAAAAAUAACAAUAGAAUGUCAAUCUUUAAUUAUCAAAAUAAGAUACUUUUUA